GACGAACGCUGGCGGCGUGCCUAACACAUGCAAGUCGAGCGAAUGAAAUUCCUUCGGGAACGGAUUUAGCGGCGGACGGGUGAGUAACACGUGGGCAACCUGCCUCAUAGAGGGGAAUAGCCUUCCGAAAGGGAGAUUAAUACCGCAUAAGAUUGUAGUACCGCAUGGUACAGCAAUUAAAGGAGCAAUCCGCUAUGAGAUGGGCCCGCGGCGCAUUAGCUAGUUGGUGAGGUAACGGCUCACCAAGGCGACGAUGCGUAGCCGACCUGAGAGGGUGAUCGGCCACAUUGGGACUGAGACACGG
rnacentral:rRNA from 1 species